UUUCCUGCUAUAUAACUUUCGGACUAUGUGACAUUCCAGCUGCUUUCCUGUUUCCCCAUUCCCAAGAGAAGAAAAGGAUUUUCAAAGUUCCUCUUUUUGGUCCAGACCAGAAAUCUGGGCUGACUGACCUGUGGUCAGGUGUCCACCAGGUUCUGGGUGGAGGGGCUGGGAUCGAUUCACACUGUUCCCUAUAGGGCUGUCUCUCUCAGAAGAGGAUGUGGGCAGGACAGGCCCUUCCAGAUCACACAGGGCCACAUUCACUCUUGGUCUUUGUUCAAAGCAGAAGUGAAGUAAUUCUAAUUACUCCACACUUAAACAAAAGGUGAGAGCUAUGUUUUACUAAAAAUACACUUAAAUGGGGGUAGGCUGCCUAUUGGCCUCUUCGCAUGUGCACUGAUUUAUGAGUCAGAUUCACCGUUUGACAUCCGGGCUCUGAGACAUGAGACGCAGGAAAUAGGUUUCGGUCAGUGGAAGCAGAGCAGAAGGAGGUGGGCUCAGGGAGCUGGGACAGCGGACAGGGGCAGAGGGCCGGCGCCCUGCUGGGUGGCAGCAGCUGAAGGCACUUUUUCUCAUUUCACACCCUUUCCCGCGGUGGGCUCUGCCUCGUGCCUCACUUGCCUCGUGGGUAAAGUGGAAUGAGAGUGUGAGUAACGCCUGACCCUGACGAGCAGUGAGAGCUGCACAAAUUAGAUCAUGUCUCUAAAACCCGCACGGGAGGCUGGUCUAGGGGUGACCCACGCAAAUGAAAGUAAUAUUGUUAUGAAGUUUCAUCUUCAAGGAGAACAGUUACAUCAUGAUCAUUUCUUUCCCUAUUCAAUUAUGGCCAGCUGCUUCUUAGGAAAAAAAAAGGGACUGCAUUUACUGUAGGUCCUGCUUUGUAUUUGCCCCAAAUCCCAGCCACGUGUUUCUCCUGCUCGCAGUAGAGAGCCAUGGAAAUAGACAGCAUCAUAAAACAGAUAUUUCAAGGCUGUGUGAGCCCCGCCCCACCCUUUCUGGAAGGCGAGGCAUUGGCGACAUUUAACCACCUGUAGGGGCUGAGCUCCUUCACAGCUGCUGCUCCUUUUCUGAACAAACAGCCAAGCUCAGCUGGGAGGCGUCCUUAAAGGUCAGCUCCUCCUCCCUCUAAAGCUUGAAUUUCUCCCCAUGCAUCACUAGUUGUGCCUUUUUUUUCCUGCAAAACCAGUCACCACACUUGAAGCAGACUGAGCACCCACUGCCCAUGGGGUAGGAAGAGUGGUAAUACAAUGGCUGGAGGUCUGGCCCCAUGAGCUGGGUCCUCCUGUAGUAUUUUCAAGCUUGGAAAAGGUACAGCACUGAGAUAAGGGGAGGAAACCCUAGCCACAGAGCUCAAGCUGAGAGCGGGGCUCGGAGGCCCUGCCUCCUGUUGGUCCCCAAGGCUGCCCCCAGAAUGGGGAGGGGCUCUCCAGGGUGGCCCCUGGAUCCUUGGGAAUAGGCAAGAGCACCUGAGAAGCAAGGAGAGCAAGAAAAGAAAGGGGCCUGAGACAGCUUGGAAGAUUCUAGCAUCCACAGGCUGGGUAGAGAGAGCAGAGUCAGCCACAAACACUGAGGAGUAGUUUGGUGUCCCUGAGCCUGAAGGACAGCAGUGUUCCAGAAGUCACCUGCAUCACAAGCUGAAGAGCUAAGGAGCGCCCAAUCGGGGUAGUGCCGCCAUGUCACUGGCGUUAUUGAGAGCAGAUGGGGAAAAUCGGAUUUGAAUGGCCAGGAAGUGAUUUUGAUUUGGCUGUCUGGAUGCUGAAGAAUUCCUUUAUUUAUUUAUUUUUAGUCCUUGACGUUCAAUAAUGGCUCACUAUUACUUUGGUUUGAACAGAAGUUCGUUUUAAGAACCUUGAAGGAAACGACGUGUCCAAAGCAGAGGGCUGUGAGACGUAUGGAAAAGAGAGCAUCACCAAGGAUCCCUUUAUCUUUUAUCCCAUACCAGCUCUGCCCCCAGGAGCGGGAGAUUUCACCAUCAGACUCCAGAAAUUCUGGUCCCAGAGGCAAGAUGUCCCUACUGUGAGCCUGAUGUUUAAACAUGAACUUCACCUGACUCCCCCUCUUCUGAUUUCAUGUCCUCAUGGCAAUUUUCUGGCGCCAGUGAAGGGCUGCUCAUGUAGAGAGAGAAUGCAAAAAAAAAAAAAAAAAAUACAGAUUUUAAAUAUUUCUGAGUCUCUCACAGUGAUUUCUCAGGGUAAUGAGUGGCUUCUGAUUACCAUUUGGUUUUCCCAGGCUACAGGGAGAAAAGGAGAUUGUUAUGCCAACCUGAAUAAUUCCAGUCUGUGUGACAAUUCUAUUUCUCACUUUAAAUUAAUAUAUUGCCAGCCUGAUGCCUUCCCCAGGUCUUCUGCACAUUUUAAUGGUGUCCUUGUUGUGGUCUUGCUUGUCUCAGAUCGACCUGUUCUUUUGAAAAGCCAGAUACAAAAGCAUAGAAGCAAGGGUUGAAGAAUCAGCAUUUGAAUUUCAGAAUGCUCGAGAGAAGGAGAUUUUGUUGAAGUUGGGUGACUUAACAAACCGACUUAACGAGCACUGUGUUUAUUUUGCGUAAACAUAAUCCCAGUUAUGAAAUUACAGCAGAAGCCUUGUUAUCUAACAAAAUGAAGACCAAUAGUUUAAUCAAAAAGUUGGAUGAAGCAUGGAAUUUAUUUUUAAAAAACCAUAGAAACCCAGUGCCUAUGUA
rnacentral:lncRNA from 1 species